GUCCAUGGACAUACCACCCUGAAUGCACUCGAUCUCAUCUGAUCUUGGGAGCUAAGCAGGGUCAGGCCUGGUUAGUACUUGGAUGGGAGACAAAAUUCAGAUAGGUAUAUUUGUGCA
rnacentral:rRNA from 1 species